rnacentral:miRNA from 1 species
CCCCAGAUGUUGCUGGAAUACAACUCCCAUGAAUCCCUGGCAAUCUUUCUAAUUGAAAGAAUCAUGGGAGUUGUAGUUCAGCAACAUCUGGGG